GGGGAUUUAGCUCAAUAGAAGACCACUUGCCUAGCAAGCAAAAAGCCCUGAGUUUAGAUCUCAGAAUUGCAA
rnacentral:tRNA from 1 species